AUCGAUUAUAGCCUCCAUCCAAAUUGAGUAUGCUGGUUUACAAUACCACACUAUAAUUUUUUUUGCCAUAUUACAUUUGCAGUGGUGCACUGUAUAUUUUUCUGUUUUUUAGUUUAUUGAGCCUGUAUAACCCAUACUUUAUAUGGGUGAGUGUGUAUACAUUAAGAACUUAACACUGUACCAAACCCACAAGUUGUGCCAUUGUCA